rfam:Aedes aegypti strain Liverpool supercont1.1480 genomic scaffold, whole genome shotgun sequence.
UGCCCAGCAACUUCUAUCCAUAUCUCCUCGUGGUACUGGCCGAGGCACGAGUAACCUUAGAGAAGAUCGGGUAACCAACCCUGAUGGAAACUUUGGUCGUAUUCUAACAGGGAAGU